CCUGGCUGUAGUCCCAGAUGUGUAUAUAGGGAAGGGGCUGUGACCAACACCCCAAAGAAAUAUCACAUAAACCUAGAAUAACUGUUUGCGGGCUAUCAGGCACAAAGGACUUCAUUAGAGGGCUGAAUAUUGUAAGUAACCCCAACGAUGUUUUGACUAGUCUGGACUUUAUCCCUACGCCAUGUAUAACGUGCUCCCAGCAUGUGUCUAUAUAUGGCUUUGUCUUCUAGUGGAACUCAGUUUGUAUGAAGCUGUUCUUCAGAGGCCAAAUAUCAUCUUCUCAGCCAAUUAUGCCAUAUACCUAACUGGAGAAGCAGUGUCUCUAGAAUGUCAGGCCACAGCUGACUUCACUAUACAUGGAUACAAGUUCUUCAAAAAUAAUCAAGAAGUUCAUAGGGUGGAAGCAGCCAGGCUAAACAAGUAUAAGAUAAGACCAGCGAGAAGAAAUGAUGCUGGAUCCUACACCUGUCUCUAUUGGACAUUAGAUACCAUUAGAGGAAGGCAAGAAUCCGAAAUCAGCUAUCCUGUGUCUUUGUCUGUAAUAGAUCAGCCAUCUAUGCCCACUCUCUUAAUCAGGCCAAAGGAAUCCCUGUAUGUAGAAGGAGAAAUGGUGACUUUGGAAUGUGAACAUCCAAGUGUAAAUGCUCAGAUCACUUAUCGUUUUUACAAGGAUAAAAGCAACCUGCUCCCUUACCAAGAUACAUCAAUAUCUGAGCACCAUAUUUCCAGCUUGAGUACCAAGGAUUCUGGAACCUAUGACUGCGAAUACUUGAUCUUUGGACACCAGAGAAUAAUCUCAUCGGGCAGAAGCAAGCAACAAACUAUAACUGUUACAGCUUGGUCUACCUCCCCAAUUUUAAAGUUCCUGCCUUAUUUCUCAACGUUUAUAAAUGGAGAAAAUGUAACCAUGGAAUGUGAAGCUCCAUCACCUGUUUAUGUUACCAUGUACCGCUUCUACAAGGAGGAAAUUGAAUUGAAAGAGCCAUCAUUAAACAAAGGAAUAUUUUCAUUGCACAACUUAACAAAAGCAAAUCAAGCGGAAUAUACUUGUAUGUACUGGAGUUCAAUGAGUAACAGAGAGAUCCCAUCCACUCAGAGUCUUCCAAAAGAGAUUUAUGUAAUUGAUCCUUUGCGCCCCCCCUUCUUGUUUUCGGAUCCUCCUAGUGGUAGAAUCUGGGAUGGAGGCAAUGUUACUCUAUACUGUAGAGCCCCUGAAGUGUAUGAAAGAACUACAUUCCACUUUCUCAAAAAUAGAGAUGAGAUAAUAAGUGUAUCCACAUACAAACAAUUAUCAGCAGCACUAACCGUCAACAUGAAGAAAUCCAAUAGCACUUCCUCUACCAAAUACAUCUGUCAGUACACAGCAGAGAUUAAGGGGCGUUCAUUGCUGUCACCUAAGAGCACAGAAGUUGAGAUCAUGGUGGUGGCACCGGGAUCUCUACUGUGGUUGAUAGCUAUUGGAGUUGGUGCUGGUAUAGCUGUGUUGAUUGUAAUUGUUGGUUUACUCUACUGGGCUCUGUUGCCCAUGAAAGAUAAAGAGAAAGAGGCUGAAGAGUCAAAGCCAAUUCAUGAAGAUAUCUGAUAUAAAUUUUUACAGCACCUUCCUAUCCCGAGACUUGCCUGAAACUACAGCAAUCACGAUUUGGCAGAAGUCCCAUGGGGCUACAUGACUGAGAAGAAAGGGGGACAUUUCCGGUGAUAGCAGGGUGGAUGCAAAGUCACUUCUCUGUAACCUUAUAGAAGUAUGAAAACGUCUUGAGGUUUGAAGAUUGAACACUGAGAAAAAAGCUACUUAUUUCAUCACAGUUCAUAAUCCAGUUUACCAAUAUGUAUUGGGACACAAAUGAUGUGGCUGUGGGUUCCUGUCUUGAUGGACUUUAUCUCAUGUAAAACCUCUCUACCUCUGAGAAGCAAACCACUGAAGUCACUUCUGUACUUGUAAGGAACUUUAUACGAAACCGACCUGGUCACUUGUAUCUAAAACUAGUCAAGCUUCUGGAACACUUUAAUAGUAUUAUAUUUUACAUAAAAUCCUAUAUGAAAAACAUCUGACUCGGGUUAUAUAAAUCAUUAUGGUGAUUUCAAAGUCCCUAUGGAUUGAAGUAUUUUUAUAAUCUAUAAUGCAAUAAUCAGGCCUAUAUAAUAUUUACACACUGAAGUAGGAACAGCUGGUGCCUGACCAAUAACAUGAUACCAUGUGGUGCCACGUCAUGAAUGGCUCACAGAUAAUGUGUUGGCCUCUCCUGUGCACCGAAGAAGUCUACAUUUUCCAUGGGUAAAUGUGGUGACUUCUGUGACUUUGACUGGGGUCAGAUUGUUGGGCGUAGAGGUGUGGUGCCAGUAUUUCUGAAACAGCAGCACAUGUACCAAUGAACAGACAGAAGAUCACACAGGGGCAGGCCUUGUCCUGUUUAUCCAAGAGGCAAGCAUCGGUUGGCAUGUUUAGUAUUUCAGCACUGACAUACCACACUUGACCAACUGACUCAGUAGUAUAACAGUGGACAAGUUGACAAAUUAAUACAAAAACCAUGCAGAGUAUGUUGCAUAAACUAGGGAUUAACAGCCAACAACUGAGAAAAGUGUUCCUAAAGACCCCUAACCAUCACAUAUAGCACCUCACAUAUGCCCAGGAAAUACUUCUAUGUAUUAUGGACACAUGGCAGUAGGCCAUCUGGAGUGACAAAUCCUAUUUCCUGCUUAACCAUAUGGAUGGCUGGGUCUGGUGUAACACAAUAAAGUUGUAUACCAUGAGUGCACAAUUGGAGUCUAACAGGCUGGAGGUGGCAGUGUCAUGGUCUGGGGAGUGAUUUCCUAGCCUACCCCAGGACAGCUGGUCAUCAUACCACAAUUCUUAAAUGGUGAACACUAUAGGGACCUGUUAGGCGACAAUAUGCACCAAUAUCUUUAGGAGGUCUUUCCUCACCACAGUAUCAUUGCCAUCUUUCUACAGGAGAAUGCUACAUGACAUUGGGCUCAGAUCACCAGGGAGUGGUUGGAGGAACUUGGCAAUGAUUUCACUAUACUACCUUGGCCCACAAACUCAACGUACUUUAACAUGUUUGUGUUAUGCUGGAAAUGGGUUGUGAGAUCUGCUUCCACUACUCAAAAAAUGUGGAGGGGAACAUCGGCCACAACAAUGGCAACCUCAUUGAAAUUGCUUUUGUACAGGUUCUUUGACACCCCACACCUCUUACAACCAUUGUUUUAAUACAAAUUAGGUUAAAUACAUUUAAACCAUUCUUAUACGUUCCUAUGGCAAGUGCCUGUGAUUUCAUCAGAUGACUACUAAAAAUCAUAAUGCAUAGAUAGUGGUUUAGUUUUACCAAUCUGUCUGAGACAAAAAUGGGUCAGAUGGAUAGCAAACGAUCAUAGCUCAGCUUUCAUCUCUCAUGUUGGAGUCAAAAAUCAUUGCCCCAUUGACCUCUGAAGAUGUCACAUAUUGUGACGAAACAUGUUAGGUUUGUUGCAGAUUUGUUGCUUUGUUGUAGAUUUUCAGCAUUACCACCGUAAACCUGGGCAUGCACUCCAGGUAUGCCCAGGGAUUGAAGUGCAAUUAUGAAUGCUGGGUAGCAAUAAACAAUAU